rnacentral:rRNA from 1 species
AUUGAACGCUGGCGGCAGGCCUAACACAUGCAAGUCGAACGGUAACAGGAAGCAGCUUGCUGCUUUGCUGACGAGUGGCGGACGGGUGAGUAAUGUCUGGGAAACUGCCUGAUGGAGGGGGAUAACUACUGGAAACGGUAGCUAAUACCGCAUAACGUCGCAAGACCAAAGAGGGGGACCUUAGGGCCUCUUGCCAUCGGAUGUGCCCAGAUGGGAUUAGCUAGUAGGUGGGGUAACGGCUCACCUAGGCGACGCUCCCUAGCUGGUCUGAGAGGAUGACCAGCCACACUGGAACUGAGACACGGUCCAGACUCCUACGGGAGGCAGCAGUGGGGAAUAUUGCACAAUGGGCGCAAGCCUGAUGCAGCCAUGCCGCGUGUAUGAAGAAGGCCUUCGGGUUGUAAAGUACUUUCAGCGGGGAGGAAGGGAGUAAAGUUAAUACCUUUGCUCAUUGACGUUACCCGCAGAAGAAGCACCGGCUAACUCCGUG